CGGAGGAGGCGUGGUCUCCGACUUGGGAGAGGCCGCGCUUCCUGACCCGGUCCCUCUGCACCAACGUGGAUGGGGGAGGGGCGCGCACUCCUUCAGCCCAGGCUUUUGCGGGUUAAUCGGGCUGGAUCUGAAGAGCUGUUCCCGAACCGUGCUAUGCUUAUCGUAGGGACUAGGGGGCUUUAUUUUUGUGUGUCCAAUUCGUAUGCUGCAGCAAAAUGGCCCUUCAGUCGCAUUUUGAGGGGUUCUCGGCAGAGUUCAAAUGCUCUAGCGUUGAAAAAAAAUCCUGAAGGGGAAAAAAAAAGAGUGACGCCCUCCUCCCCCAUUAAUUAUUUGUGGGGCUGGAGUAACGCGGGCUGGUGCAACCGGUGCAUAUAAGGACUUGUGUGCAAGGAAGGGGAUCCGCCUCCAGCCGCGGAACGAAUGGGGGAGACGCGCACUCGCGCGGGGCACGCAGCCCCGCGUUUCAGCAAAUUGCAACUGCAGCCCCCGGGAUCCAGGAUGGCAGUUCUCUAGGGCCAGUCACUCGCCGCCUCGGGGCUGGGAAGAUCUGCCAGAAGCGGGAAAGCUGGGAGAGCUGAGCUCCCUCUGGCCUCGCCACACCCAGGACCUGUCCGUGCCGCAAUUCCCCCACGGAAACGACCGAAUUGAAACGAGAAUUGUUCUCCGGGUGCAGUGGCUUGACUGCUUCAGAUCUCUGGAGAGCUGUUCCUUGAGUUUUCUGCCCACUGUUAUCCAAAGGGAACAUUCUCUCCACCCCAGUCUGCCUGAUAUGCUGCUAUUUACCUUCUUAGGCUCAGAUGUCACCUCUUCCAGGAAGUCUUUAUUGAACUUUCCCCCUGCCACACCCCUCUGAAGACUGAGUUGAUCACUCCCUACCUCUGUGCCUUGUAAUAUUGUUACUGUGCACCACCGCAAUUUCUUUCAUUUACAUAUCUCAAGUCAAAUAUUUGUUAAUUCAAGGCCUAGGCAUUAAUUUUAUCUGUGUAUCUAGUAA